rnacentral:rRNA from 2 species
UGGAUCCACACUUUGAUUCUGGCUCAGGAUGAACGCUAGCUACAGGCUUAACACAUGCAAGUCGAGGGGCAGCAUGACGGAAGCUUGCUUUCGUUGAUGGCGACCGGCGCACGGGUGAGUAACGCGUAUCCAACCUGCCCUUGUCCAUCGGAUAACCCGUCGAAAGGCGGCCUAACACGAUAUGCAGUCCACAGAAGGCAUCUGACGCGGACGAAAUGUAAAGGAGAAGGAUGGGGAUGCGUCUGAUUAGCUUGUUGGCGGGGUAACGGCCCACCAAGGCGACGAUCAGUAGGGGUUCUGAGAGGAAGGUCCCCCACAUUGGAACUGAGACACGGUCCAAACUCCUACGGGAGGCAGCAGUGAGGAAUAUUGGUCAAUGGGCGAGAGCCUGAACCAGCCAAGUAGCGUGCAGGAAGACGGCCCUAUGGGUUGUAAACUGCUUUUAUGCGGGGAUAAAGUGAGCCACGUGUGGCUUAUUGCAGGUACCGCAUGAAUAAGGACCGGCUAAUUCCGUGCCAGCAGCCGCGGUAAUACGGAAGGUCCGGGCGUUAUCCGGAUUUAUUGGGUUUAAAGGGAGCGUAGGCCGUCUGAUAAGCGUGUUGUGAAAUGUCGGGGCUCAACCUGGGCAUUGCAGCGCGAACUGUGAGACUCGAGUGCGCGGGAAGUAGGCGGAAUUCGUCGUGUAGCGGUGAAAUGCUUAGAUAUGACGAAGAACUCCGAUUGCGAAGGCAGCCUGCUGUAGCGCAACUGACGCUGAAGCUCGAAAGCGUGGGUAUCGAACAGGAUUAGAUACCCUGGUAGUCCACGCGGUAAACGAUGGAUGCUCGCUGUUUGCGUCUGACGUAAGCGGCCAAGCGAAAGCGUUAAGCAUCCCACCUGGGGAGUACGCCGGCAACGGUGCAACUCAAAUGAAUUGACGGAAGG